rnacentral:lncRNA from 1 species
AGUUUAUCCUGGACUGUUCUCCUUAUCAACAGGUGUGGGAGGGGUACAUAGCCCUCAUGGAGUCCCAGGGAGCUUGAGCCUUGUUGUCUGGAGAUCAUCUCACCUCCUCUUGUGAACAACUCUAAAAACCAAACUACCAAACGCACCCCAGAUAAAAUAGCUACUCUAGUCUCGUAAGUAUUGGACAAACUGAAUUCAUAUUUAAAGCCCUUUUCAAAAAAGUAGUCUCCAGGCUGGGAUGGUUCUCCUGACAAAUUC